rnacentral:lncRNA from 1 species
GACUCAUGGAGACACUUUAAACUGGAAGCAAGAGACCCCAGGGAAGAGUGUUCUUAGGCAGAGGGAACAUAACAUGCUAAUGUGCUUUGAGGGGACAUUGCUGUGCAAGUGGCAAAAAGAGUCCUGUCCCAGCACUGCCUGGGUAAGAUAAAGGCUCGUCAUCUGUGCAUGCGUUUAUCCGAGUGGAACGUGAGUCCUGGGGGCUGCUGCCACCGCGCCGGUCCCUCCUGUAAUCCAAGCCCGUGUCAGAGGACGCGGCGCCUGCAAGGAGGAAGGGUUGCAGCAGGUGUGGCCAGAUCCUCUAGACAAGAGGUGUGGAUUCAGAUCCUACCAGUCUUACUCCUGAUGAAGUUAGGCAAAUCAGUUGGCUCUGGAGUAAUUAGUAGCCGCUUCCUCAUUGACCAUUGCAAGGUGAUCUUCUCAACAUAUACCUCAGUUAACAUUGUGCGGAUGGCCGCCUUCUCCUCUCCUGGAAAUAUGCAAAUUGACAACACAUUUUAUCCUUCACAGGAAACAACAGAGUGAGGACAUAACAGGACUCUUCUUCCCGGAAACUUCUUCUCAGACUUCCACUCACAGGUCACUGGCCAGAAAUGAUGACAUAUGGGUUCCUUAAUUUAAGAGAAACAGAAAAAUGAGCAUCAUCUGCUAAAAGAGAAUGGGGCUAUACUGACUGGCUGAGGACAAUCAUGCCCGAGCCACUAGGUCUGGGCAAAUUGGGCACUUCCAAAGUGCAUUGUGAAAGUGUUCUUAAGAAAAAGAUGGGGUAUGUGGAUUCUGGAUAAGCAAAGUAUCUGCCACACUGAAAUCCUUAUCUAGUUUCCUAAAAUCCUAGGUUAGAAAAUUCAAAUGGCUUCACUUGUGUGAUUAUUAUCUCUGCUAUAUGCUUCAGAAGAAAAUAAAAGUAUGUUCAUAACGUUCAUUUUAAAUCU